GGGGAAUAUUGCGCAAUGGGGGCAACCCUGACGCAGCCAUGCCGCGUGAAUGAAGAAGGCCUUCGGGUUGUAAAGUUCUUUCGGUAGCGAGGAAGGCAUUUAGUUUAAUAAACUAAGUGAUUGACGUUAACUACAGAAGAAGCACCGGCUAACUCCGUGCCAGCAGCCGCGGUAAUACGGAGGGUGCGAGCGUUAAUCGGAAUAACUGGGCGUAAAGGGCACGCAGGCGGUGACUUAAGUGAGGUGUGAAAGCCCCGGGCUUAACCUGGGAAUUGCAUUUCAUACUGGGUCGCUAGAGUACUUUAGGGAGGGGUAGAAUUCCACGUGUAGCGGUGAAAUGCGUAGAGAUGUGGAGGAAUACCGAAGGCGAAGGCAGCCCCUUGGGAAUGUACUGACGCUCAUGUGCGAAAGCGUGGGGAGCAAACAGGAUUAGAUACCCUGGUAGUCCACGCUGUAAACGAUGUCGAUUUGGGGGUUGAGCUUUGAGCUUGGCGCCCGUAGCUAACGUGAUAAAUCGACCGCCUGGGGAGUACGGCCGCAAGGUUA
rnacentral:rRNA from 1 species